GACAAACGCUGGCGGCGUGCUUAACACAUGCCAGUCGAACGGAAAGGCCCUGCUUUUGUGGGGUGCUCGAGUGGCGAACGGGUGAGUAACACGUGAGUAACCUGCCCUUGACUUUGGGAUAACUUCAGGAAACUGGGGCUAAUACCGGAUAGGAGCUCCUGCUGCAUGGUGGGGGUUGGAAAGUUUCGGCGGUUGGGGAUGGACUCGCGGCUUAUCAGCUUGUUGGUGGGGUAGUGGCUUACCAAGGCUUUGACGGGUAGCCGGCCUGAGAGGGUGACCGGCCACAUUGGGACUGAGAUACGGCCCAGACUCCUACGGGAGGCAGCAGUGGGGAAUAUUGCACAAUGGGCGGAAGCCUGAUGCAGCAACGCCGCGUGCGGGAUGACGGCCUUCGGGUUGUAAACCGCUUUCGCCUGUGACGAAGCGUGAGUGACGGUAAUGGGUAAAGAAGCACCGGCUAACUACGUG
rnacentral:rRNA from 1 species